rnacentral:lncRNA from 1 species
CAGGCCGAGCGGAGCCGAACACCGCCGAGCCAAGCUCAGCCCCAUCGACUUUUCCAGCCUCGGCUGGGCGCUGUCCACCACUUACAACGCCUGAAACCUCACCCUGGCUCAGGAGGCCGAGGCUUCUACCGGACUCCCGGCCUGCCACAGUGGAUUACAGACUUGUGAAGUUUCGAAACCUGCCCCUAAGGAGAAAGAGGUGGCGCGGUUUGCAUUUCCCGACACGCGAGGGCUCCAGGCAGAUGCAACAUGCACCUUGUUGCAAAGAGCAAUUCCCCAGGCCCCGCCUCCCCAUCCAUUUGGACUGCACAAGCCCCAGAGAAACCCCAGGCCAAAUUACUGGUGGCUCAGAAGGGUGAGGCUAGCCGAAGGGGCCUGUGAGAAGAAAGCCCCCGGGAGCUCUCGAACGCAAAUAAGAACAUGCCAAGCAGAUGGGAGAAACUGUCUCCUAGUCGCUGCUCCCUACCAUCAUGGCGCCGCCUGGAACUCGCUUGUCAUGCCUGUUACACAUGCAAGAAUUUUUGCUUCUUGGUUUUGAAACCACAAGCACGAUUUGUCUCCCACCCACCUUCCCUCGAAAGGGGCUUUUAUUUUCCAUUGUUUUCCUACGGGAUGCAAUUACUUCGGCUAUUCUGUCAAGUUGAAAAAUAAUCAUUUUUGUUUACAGCACAGCAACCUCUAAUUAGGAGCUGUGUGUGCACGAAGGUGUCACAGCAAAGCGACAUGGAAUCCUCGCUAAACGGUCCUAACGAACUCCUCCGUCCCGAACUGACAGGCCAACGGAAACAGGGCCAGGAGGCCCGGAAGGCACGCACCCGUUCCCUGCCGGCCACCCCUCCCCAGGCAGAGCUGCCUGGAGGCUCACCGGGAACCGUGGAGUGGAUGGGGCAAGAAGCAAGCCAGAGAGGAGGAAGGACGGGCGAGGCUCCUAAGUGGGGAAAUGUGGAAAGGAAGGAAUAUCCCAUUUUGUUUUAAUUUUCAACCAUCACUCAAAUCCACCCCCAGUUAAUUAGGAGGGGAAACUGAUAUCUAAGGCAGAAAGGGGGCGGUGGCAAGUAGGGCCUGAAAUCCGCAUUGAAGGUAGAAUACAGAGUGUAAAUACAACGAUAAAGGCUACACAGUGACUGGAACCUGCGGGUGUCAGAAGAGCAAAGGCUGGAGGGCCAGGGAGGAGAGGGGCUGGAGGGCAGAUGAAACUGGCUUUUAGCCCCACAGACCCUCCCACCUCUGCCUUGGAUAAGGCUGUGUCUGUCACAUCCGCUUGGAAACCCAUCCUUUCUCCCCAGUGCACGCCCCCUCCCCUAACCCUUGCUCGCUUUGGGGGGGGGGGUCGUCUAAGCCACAGCCACCAGGAAUUCAGCACCAAACUCGUGAACAGCAAACACUUGAUCCUCCACCCCAAUCUGCUAGGGCUGGGUCCCCUCCAUGUUUUAGUCAAGUUCAAAAUCACUGCCUCAAGAGAAGCAGGGGGAAGUGGGAUUCGAGGGGUGGGGUGGAGGAGGAGGGGAAAGAAGAUGAGGCAGAGACAGAAAUGGAGGCAGUGAAACACGAAAUACUCCACGAGCAAGAGUUAUGAUCAUAAGCACGCCAAUAGUGUGAUGUUCUGAUCAAUAUGGCGGACACUGUCAUUCAUACAACUAGAGGCGCUCUCAUUCCCUCCCCGCAAACACCGACCCCAGGAGUUGGGGUGGGGGACCCGGGGAGGCAACCUCGGGUUUCUUCUGUGUGUGCGCGAAUUAAAAACCAGGCCUGGAGAGCAAAUAUGGGUGAGCAAGAUAAUAAAAACGAUAUAAAUUAUUCUUAAUAAAAGUACAAAUCCCAAUGACACAGGGACUUACUUC